rnacentral:rRNA from 1 species
UACGAAGGGGGCUAGCGUUGCUCGGAAUCACUGGGCGUAAAGGGCGCGUAGGCGGCGUUUUAAGUCGGGGGUGAAAGCCUGUGGCUCAACCACAGAAUGGCCUUCGAUACUGGGACGCUUGAGUAUGGUAGAGGUUGGUGGAAUUGCGAGUGUAGAGGUGAAAUUCGUAGAUAUUCGCAAGAACACCGGUGGCGAAGGCGGCCAACUGGACCAUUACUGACGCUGAGGCGCGAAAGCGUGGGGAGCGAACAGG